AUUGAACGCUGGCGGCAGGCCUAACACAUGCAAGUCGAGCGGUAGAGAGAAGCUUGCUUCUCUUGAGAGCGGCGGACGGGUGAGUAAUGCCUAGGAAUCUGCCUGAUAGUGGGGGAUAACGUCCGGAAACGGACGCUAAUACCGCAUACGUCCUACGGGAGAAAGUGGGGGCUCUUCGGACCUCACGCUAUUAGAUGAGCCUAGGUCGGAUCAGCUAGUUGGUGGGGUAAAGGCUCACCAAGGCGACGAUCCGUAACUGGUCUGAGAGGAUGAUCAGUCACACUGGAACUGAGAAACGGUCCAGACUCCUACGGGAGGCAGCAGUGGGGAAUAUUGGACAAGGGGCGAAAGCCUGAUCCAGCCAUGCCGCGUGUGUGAAGAAGGUCUUCGGAUUGUAAAGCACUUUAAGUUGGGAGGAAGGGUCGUUACCUAAUACGUGACGAUUUUGACGUUACCGACAGAAUAAGCACCGGCUAACUCUGUGCCAGCCGCCGCCGUAACAC
rnacentral:rRNA from 1 species